AACCCUAUGUGUAUGUCGUUAAUUUUGGUGAAAAUGAAAGUGAAAAUAGCUCUUGCCUUCGUCAGUUUAGACAAUUAGAGGAUAUUGCGCAUAUAAGCGAUAUUUGACUGGAACUGGAAUCAAUGGCGUGUAAUCCUAGAAGUUUUUAUAUGAACAAUACCUGUGUGCGUGAAAUACCAAGUUCAUCCACCCCUUCUUUGGGAGUUAAUCAAGUGGCUAGUUUGCCAUUGCUCAUUUCGAGUGUUGUGGCUGCUUUGGUCAUGGUUGUUUUCAUCAUCCUGUUCUUUGCCAAAAAAUAUAAAAGACGAGAGUUCUGUAGGAGGAAGAACAGGGCUAUGGAAAACUCUGCUGUAAACAGUGGGUUUGGGACUCAGGAAGGUUCUGAAAUUGGCCUUUUGCCUGUAAACGAUACAUACAAUGAACUUCGGGAACACGAGAAACGGACAAAUGACGACGGGAAUCAGGAAAACUAUCACCAUUUGGAUUUGACUUUUGUAAAAGAUGAGGUUGACCCUUCACAGUAUGAUCACGUGACCGAAAAAAGUGGUCCUUACGAGUUUGUUAUAUCACCUGGCUGAGAGGAGUUCCUUUUCCUCGUUUUAUCAUUCACCAUUCCUUCAAAACAAUAACAAUAAAGAGAACUAUAUAU
rnacentral:misc_RNA from 1 species